UCUGGGGAAAGGAUGAUCGCGCCGGUAUUUAUUUGCCGGUGAGGAAAGUCCAGGCAGCAGAAAGCAGGGUGCCGGGCGUAAGCCCGGGACAGGCUCGGGGCAACUCGGGUUUGGCCAGUACAGAGCCACAGAAACUAUGUCGGUUCUUUUACCCUAAAGGUAGAAGAAAACGAGUGAAAAGGGGCAAUCCUCCCCGCUGCAACCUCCGAACGGGACGUUUGAGGUGCUUUCCCAAGUCCCAAGGUCAGAGGGCAUCAGACAGAUGAUCGUCGAAAAACAGAACCUGGCUUACUCUUUCCCAGAGUAC
rfam:Microgenomates bacterium GW2011_GWC1_43_13 TV71_C0005, whole genome shotgun sequence.